AAUGGAAAAUAUACUUUAAAAACAAUAUUGCAGUGCAUUGGACUCCACACAGCAGUGGAUCCAGCACCUUUUCUACAGUUUCUGACCCCGGACUAUGACCUUUGACCUUCUGAGUGACGGUUUCACUGUAAUUUGUGGACACACGUCCCCAGCAGGUGCGAGACGCACUCAGUCGCCGGUGGGAGGAACGGCCAAACGCAGCUGUUCCCGUGACCUUUCCGUGUUAUUAACACCGCCCCAAUGCGCAGAUGGAUUGAGACAAACCCAGCACACCUGUGUUCCCGACCAGGGGAAGCAGGAGUGGAGCCGCUGGUUGCAUCGUGCUUAGAACUGCUGCCCUUGGAGCCAAUGGCUACAGGUUCGAGUCUCACCUCCAGUUACGAUACUCUUGAGCAAGCGGCUCAAGUGUCACCAGGGCUCCAGAACGAAGACGGUUGCAGGACCAGCCGGACAGGUUGAGAUAACGCCACUGGGCGACGCCCCCUGCGGUGACGGUGACGCUUGGCCAAACGUAACGGACAGCAGCAGCAGCCCGAUGACAGGCCUCUGGCAACUGGCUGCACAGUAAAUCAUCCCCAAUCCCAUCAUCCCUCACUUAAGGGCUGUGGAGGAUUCGCUCCGUCAGGGAAGUGAGACGGAAGCCG